rnacentral:rRNA from 1 species
CGACCGGCGCACGGGUGAGUAACACGUAUGAAACCUGCCCGUAGCAGGGGGAUAAGCGGAAGAAAUUCCGUCUAAUACCGCGUAACAACCCAUGGAGGCAUCUCUGUGGGUUUAAAGGAAGCGAUUCCGGCUACGGAUGGUCAUGCGUCGCAUUAGCUUGUUGGCGGGGUAACGGCCCAUCAAGGCGACGAUGCGUAGGGGUUCUGAGAGGAAGGUCCCCCACACUGGUACUGAGACACGGACCAGACUCCUACGGGAGGCAGCAG